UACGUAGGGGGCGAGCGUUUUCCGAAUUCACUGGGCGUAAAGCGCGCGUAGGCGGACUUUUAAGUUGGGGGUGAAAUGCCGAGGCUCAACCUCGGAACUGCCUCCAAAACUGGGAGUCUUGAGGUAUGGAGAGGGAAGUGGAAUUCCAGGUGUAGCGGUGAUAUGCGUAGAUAUCUGGAGGAACACCCGUGGCGAAGGCGGCUUCCUGGUCAUAUCCUGACGCUGAGGUGCGAAAGCCAGGGGAGCGAACGGG
rnacentral:rRNA from 1 species